rnacentral:rRNA from 1 species
CCUACGGGAGGCAGCAGUGGGGAAUAUUGCACAAUGGGGGAAACCCUGAUGCAGCGACGCCGCGUGAAGGAAGAAGUACUUCGGUAUGUAAACUUCUAUCAGCAGGGAAGAAAAUGACGGUACCUGACUAAGAAGCCCUGGCCAACUACGUGCCAGCAGCCGCGGUAAUACGUAGGGGGCAAGCGUUAUCCGGAUUUACUGGGUGGAAAGGGAGCCUAGGCGGUGUUGCAAGUCAGAAGUGAAAGCCGUCAGCUCAACUGCGGGACUGCUUUUGACACUGGAUGACGAGAGUGCAGGAGAGGUAAGUGGAAGUCCUAGUGUAGCGGUGAAAUGCGUAGAUAUUAGGAGGAACACCAGUGGCGAAGGCGGCUUACUGGACUGUAAAUGACGCUGAGGCUCGAAAGCGUGGGGAGCAAACAGGAUUAGAUACCCCAGUAGUC